CUGAGAAUGAUUCUUCGGAUGAAGUCUCUUGUGACUGAGUGGCGGACGGGUGAGUAACGCGUGGGUAACCUGCCUCACACAGGGGGAUAACAGUUGGAAACGACCGCUAAUACCGCAUAACCCGCUGGUGCCGCAUGGCACUGACGGAAAAGAUUUUAUCGGUGUGAGAUGGACCCGCGUCUGAUUAGCCAGUUGGCAGGGUAACGGCCUACCAAAGCGACGAUCAGUAGCCGGCCUGAGAGGGUGAACGGCCACAUUGGGACUGAGACACGGCCCAGACUCCUGCGGGAGGCAGCAGUGGGGAAUAUUGCACAAUGGGGGAAACCCUGAUGCAGCGACGCCGCGUGAGUGAAGAAGUAUUUCGGUAUGUAAAGCUCUAUCAGCAGGGAAGAAAAUGACGGUACCUGAUUAAGAAGCCCCGGCUAACUACGUGCCAGCAGCCGCGGUAAUACGUAGGGGGCAAGCGUUAUCCGGAUUUACUGGGUGUAAAGGGAGCGUAGACGGUGAUGCAAGUCAGAAGUGAAAGCCCGGGGCUCAACUCCGGGACUGCUUUUGAAACUGUGUGACUGGAGUGCAGGAGAGGUAAGCGGAAUUCCUGGUGUAGCGGUGAAAUGCGUAGAUAUCAGGAGGAACACCAGUGGCGAAGGCGGCUUACUGGACUGUAACUGACGUUGAGGCUCG
rnacentral:rRNA from 1 species